rnacentral:rRNA from 1 species
UGGGGAAUAUUGCGCAAUGGGCGCAAGCCUGACGCAGCGACGCCGCGUGGGUGACGAAGGCCUUCGGGUCGUAAAACCCUGUCGGGUGGAACGAACGCCCGCGCCGCGAACACCGGCGCGGGGUGACGGUACCACCGAAGGAAGCCCCGGCUAACUACGUGCCAGCAGCCGCGGUAAUACGUAGGGGGCGAGCGUUGUUCGGAUUUACUGGGCGUAAAGAGCGCGUAGGCGGUUCGGUCCGUCGGCCGUGAAAGCCCUCGGCUCAACCGAGGAGCCGCGGCCGAGACCACCGAACUUGAGGGCAGGAGAGGAGAGCGGAAUUCCCAGUGUAGCGGUGAAAUGCGUAGAGACUGGGAGGAACACCGGUGGCGAAGGCGGCUCUCUGGACUGCUCCUGACGCUGAGGCGCGAAAGCUAGGGGAGCAAACGGG